CUUUUCCUAGACUUGGGGAACUUUCUGCUACGGUAUCAUUCUGUAGUUCGUUCUCUCUCUCUCUCUCUCUCUCUCUCUCUCUCUCUCUCUCUCUCUCCUCCCACCCCCCCUUUCUUUGAGACAGGGUUUCUCUAUGUAGCCUUGGCUGUCCUGAAACUCACUCUGUAGACCAGACUGGCCUCAAGCUCAGAGCUUCAACUGCCUCUGUCUUGUGAGUGCUGGGAUUAAGGGUGUGUGCCACCACCAUCCAGCACUGUAUGUUUUCUAUAACUUUAGUUUAUUAGAAUUUAUUUUACUGGUUUAUUGUAAUUACUUAGUUUAUUUUUAUUCACCUUUUAUUGCUAAUUUUCUCACACCAGUUAUCGAGUCUUUCAUCCGCAUCUCGGACUGAGUUCUUUUUCUUUCAUCUGUUUAUUUGACUCCUUGUUGGAGCACUUCACAAGUUUCUUCUUUCUUUUCUCCUUCCCCCUGCCCUCUUCCUUCCCCUCCUCUUCCUUCUCCCUGAAGUCCUCUGCCACCUUCUGCCCCUGUACCACUUCUUCCUCCAGCACUGGAGUUUCCAUCUCGUGUCUUGUAAGGGCUAGACAUGGAUCCACAACCCAGCCGAUGGUGGUCUCUAAAGCUACACUUCUGAAGUCAUUAUUGGCUACACUGUGAUCUCAAGGCCAGACUGACUACAUGAAGACCAGGCCUCAAAAAGGAUAAAAAAAUAUAGGAUAAACUGUGAAAAGAAUCAGUAAAGGUAAAAAUAUCAAUAAUAGCAAUGAAAUACAGAAGGGGACAGGGAUGGGGAACAAGAAAACAGGAGCUAGGUUAGAGAAAAUGAAAAAAGGGAAGGAGGUAAAAAUAUGAGGAACAAGAGAAAAGAGCAUUGUCUUAAUCAGGGUUUCUAUUCCUGCACAAACAUCAUGACCAAGAAGCAAGUUGGGAAGGAAAGGGUUUGUUCAGCUUACACUUCUACAUUGCUGUUCAUCACCAAGGAAGUCAGGACUGGAACUCAAGCAGGUCAGAAAGCAGGAGCUGAUGCAGAGGCCAUGGAAGGAUGAAAAGGAACAAGAGAGAUGCUCCAAAAAAAAAAAUUCCUGGUUUUCCAGAUGGCCCAAGAUCAGGUUCCAGUACCCACAUCAGUCCCCAGCCUCCAGGAGGAUCCAAAAGCUCAAGGUUGAGGGUGUUGCCGGUGGCCGUUGAUUUCACCCAUCACACCUACCUGAUGGCACCUCCAGAAGAAGAGGCAUCACUAAAGACUGGGUUCAGGGAGCAGCUUGAUGGUAGAAAUUUGGAUGUUCUUGGACUCUCACGUUCUUCCCGAAAGCAAAUGGCUUUGCCCUUUCUAUAUUCCUGGGCACCUCUUCUCACUGGUGUUCACCAAUGCUCUGUAAUUUCCUUUAAAUAAACCAGUUGGCAUG
rnacentral:lncRNA from 1 species